rnacentral:pre_miRNA from 1 species
AUGUAGGACAAUCUAUCUUAAGUAAAGAUAAAUUGUUCUUUAAAAGAAUACUAGGUUUUUUCCUUCAACUCAAGUGUCCUGU